CACUAGGCCCUUUUAAGGGCCACCAUACGUCUAACAUAGAGUGACC
rfam:Operophtera brumata OBRT01_Sc00272, whole genome shotgun sequence.